UGGGGCUAUAGCUCAGUGGCAGAGCACUUGCCUAGCAUGUAUGAGGCACUGGGUUCGAUCCUCAGCACCACAA
rnacentral:tRNA from 1 species